rnacentral:rRNA from 1 species
CAGCCGCCACGGGAAUACGAAGGGUGCAAGCGUUAAUCGGAAUUACUGGGCGUAAAGCGCACGCAGGCGGUCUGACAAGUCAGAUGUGAAAUCCCCGGGCUUAACCUGGGAACUGCAUUUGAAACUGUCAGGCUGGAGUCUUGUAGAGGGGGGUGGAAUUCCAGGUGUAGCGGUGAAAUGCGUAGAGAUCUGGAGGAAUACCGGUGGCGAAGGCGGCCCCCUGGACAAAGACUGACGCUCAGGUGCGAAAGCGUGGGGAGCAAACAGGAUUAGAGACCCCGGUAGUCCCUGUCUCUUAUAC